CUUCCAGUAGCACCUUAGAGACCAACUAAGUUUGUUAUUGGUAUGAGCUUUCGUGUGCAUGCAAACUUCUUCAGAUAAGUGUGCAUGCACAUGAAAGCUCAUACCAAAAACAAACUUAGUUGGUCUCUAAGGUGCUACUGGAAG